GAUGAAGAACGUAGCGAAAUGCGAUAAGUAAUGUGAAUUGCAGAAUUCAGUGAAUCAUCGAAUCUUUGAACGCACAUUGCGCCCGCCAGUAUUCUGGCGGGCAUGCCUGUCUGAGCGUCAUUUCAACCCUCAUGCCCCUAGGGCGUGGUGUUGGGGAUCGGCUAAAGCCCGCGAGGGACGGCCGGCCCCUAAAUCUAGUGGCGGACCCGUCGUGGCCUCCUCUGCGAAGUAGUGAUAUUCCGCAUCGGAGAGCGAUGAGCCCCUGCCGUUAAACCCCCAACUUUCCAAGGUUGACCUCAGAUCAGGUAGGAAUACCCGCUGAACUUAAGCAUAUCAAUAAGCGGAGGA
rnacentral:misc_RNA from 1 species